GAUAAACUGCAGGGAAUGAGGGGUGUCUGAGGGGAAAUCCUUGACCAGGAUUGUCCAAAAACGAAUAGGUUUGGGACAGUGCACUUGAAUAAUGCUACUACGGGGAUGAUAAAACCUUGGACGCCAGAAGCUGUGCGGGUGGAUUCUUGACUGCCGACCUCUACAAAACAGCUAGGUGUUAUGAGAUGGUGUGACGAGCAGCUGGAGGUCCUCUCUCUCUCUCUCUCAGUAAGUGAAUAAGGGGUCUGUGUUCUGCGAGGAAGUCUCCUGCUCUCCACACACAGGGUUAUUCCUGACACCGCUUCCCAGAAGCCAACUUACAAGGAGGAAGAGAGGAGUGCUCAGCCAGUGACGUCAUCGGAUCCCCCAGCGCGUCCCUGUGAGAGGAGGGAGCUGGUGCUGCAGGCACAUAGCAACACUGUGUAUGUGAGCAGAAUAAUGCAUCCAGUGUCUGGGCCUCACUGAUAACCUGCUAAUCAUAUUCUCUGCUUGAUAUUGGCCAUUUCAGUCAGCUGUUAUUAGAGACGACCGGGAUUAGACUCUCUCUGUAAACGUUUCUAUUCUGCGACUAUACCUUGAACUAAUUAAAGAAGUUCCUAGGGUUGCAACAUUUUCUGGAAAAAUAUACAUACUGACAGGAAAAAUA